CUGAGUUUUGGGUGUUCUCUUUUGACGCCCGAUCUCCCACCCUUUGUUUAACUACAAUUGUUGCUUUGGCAGGACUGUCUUCUUUUCUUUCGGGGGGAGAGACUGCCGGAGGUGUGAUGUCACGCCUCUGGAUUGUUUGCCUGCCAGUAGCCAACUUCAAAUUCUUUUUUAAUUAUGUCGUCUGAUGCUUUAAAUAAAUUUUAUUUA
rnacentral:misc_RNA from 1 species